UAGGGAAUAUUGCUUAAUGGGCGAAAGCCUGAAGCAGCAACGCCGCGUGUGUGAAGAAGGCCUUCGGGUUGUAAACACUUUUUGAGGGGAUGAGGAAGGACAGUACCCCCAGAAUAAGCCUCGGCCAACUACGUGCCAGCAGCCGCGGUAAAACGUAGGAGGCGAGCGUUAUCCGGAUUUACUGGGCGUAAAGCGCGUGCAGGCGGCACGGCAAGUUGGAUGUGAAAGCUCCCGGCUUAACUGGGAGAGGUCGUUCAAAACUGCCGAGCUAGAGUGCGGGAGAGGGAGGUGGAAUUCCGGGUGUAGUGGUGAAAUGCGUAGAUAUCCGGAGGAACACCAGUGGCGAAAGCGGCCUCCUGGUCCGCAACUGACGCUCAGACGCGAAAGCUAGGGUAGCAAACGG
rnacentral:rRNA from 1 species